rnacentral:lncRNA from 1 species
UGGGAAGCAAACAGGGCGAUGCUCUGAGGUGGCUGUUACCAGAGGAAAACAGUAAGAACGUUGGGUAAUAGCUGCAUCUUGUUUGGAUUAGAGCUAUGUUCCCUUUUGAAUCCUGAGGUUAAAACUGGAGGUAUUGAAGACCUCAGGCUGCCAUUUAUACAUGGACAGGAGCUCUUUGGUUAACUCCUUCCCUCUGACUUUUUAAGGUUUUAUCAUAUUUUAAAAGAAACUCCAUUGAAAUGUUUUAGUUGUGAAUUGUUGAGCUAAAUUAAUUCUUAACUAAAACCAGAAUUUCCCUUUUUAAUUUUAACUGGAACAAAAUCCUUACUCUCCUGUUGCAAUUGCUCUGGAUAAUUAUGUGAAGUCAUGGCAGUAUGAGUGGAUACCCAGACAGUUACUUCCCAGAGGGAGGUGGUUGUGUUUUAAGCAAAGCCUAUUGUAACUUCAGAGUCCAGGUGGGGCACACAGUGUUGGGUGAGUUCACAUUUGGAUGGGAUUUAUAUCUCCGUUUACUGUCUACCGAAGUCACCGUUUCACAGGGGCGUGGUUCCUCACUUCUUGCUGUUGAUAGAUCUGUGCUGUUUUGCUUUAUUAACUCACAAAUUCACUGUUGAGCAUUUUCAGUUGAAUUUAUUUUGUGAAAUAAUUCAAGUAGCGUGUUGACUAGAUGUACUGGUUUGGUUGUGAGGUGGGAUGUGGUUGACCUCUGUCUUAUUUGGCUGUGAACAAUCUCCAUGGGAGCAUUCAUGCUCUUUGUAAGCACUUGGCGUGCUGAUACCAACUCACAGUUAAGUUUUGUUGUUGCUCCUUUUUUUUUUUUUCAUUUCAAUUUUAGACCAUGAGAAUUUGCACCAAGGCUCCCCUGGUUUGAGUGGAGCUGCCUGGAUCAAACGCUGCCUGCUCUGCCCUGGC